GUGGGUUUCUAGGAAUAUGAAAAUGGGUUAUACUAUACAUAUUGCUUAGCAGUUUGCUAAGUUUAUAUAUAUAUCUUUCUCAUCCCAUCUUUUGAAAGUUCAAGUUUUAAUGUUCUAUACAUUAAAGCAAAUUCAUACAUUUCAUGUUGUUAUUCAUUUUAUUCAAGAAGAGAAAAAUAGAAAUCCUAAAAUGCAGUACUUCCAAAGGGAAGUACAGCUAGUCUUCAUAAAGGUGGCUACCAUAAAUGAUACUGUGACACUGUAUGUGCUCUAAUUUUCCUUUGAAAUAGGCAAGGAAAAAGUAGGUGGAGAUAUUGCCAAAAAUAAUGCCAUUACCAAAAGUAGCAUGGAAAUUUUAUUUACUUAAAAGUACGAAUAUUUUCAAGAACUUCAGAGAGCCUGUGAUGUACCUGACAAAUGAAAGAUGAAAAAAAAUUUUACAUGUAUUUUGUGACACUUGACUAACUUUCCAGUCUAUCUAAUUAACUACUAUCUAAUCCAUUCCCCAAAUUUAGUGAGUUUUUACGUAAUCAUGCAACUCGUUUUGACCUU
rnacentral:lncRNA from 1 species